UGGCAUCCCUUUUCAUUGGCUCGGGCUUUCACGGGCAGAUGCAGUAUCUUCCUCGACCUCGAUCGGCUCUUCAACAGUUUGUUCGCGGCAGCAGAUCUGAACUUGACUGUUUAACACGAUACCCAAGAGCUAACUGGGGUCUACAAACGUCACAUUCAGGAUCCAUCUGCCUCUGUGGAGAAAAGGAGAGAAGUGGUCCUGAGAUGCCUGAUUGAGUACAUGGGGGAGAGACAGGAAGACCUCAUCAGUGUCUACCAUAAUCGUUCUGAAACAGAGGUGCACGCUGAGCUUUGCAGUUGCCCACUGAACAUUUACAUGUGCCAUCAUCCCGACACAACUGGUAUUAUCAUCGAAGGACAGCCCGUGGUCAGAGGUUUGCCAAACCUGUCAAAAGCAUGCUGCCUCCUGUUUGGACUUGCCUAUGCUCUCGACCUCAAGUAUCCAUCAAAACUGGUGUAUGGUUUUGAGAUAUAUCAGAGGCUUUUUGUUGGAUUGGACCCCAUGCGUCCUAAGCCAUCAUCCAAGUACGCAAAUCUCCUCAACAAGUUGUCUUAGAUGAUUUCUCAAUGGAAUCUGGCUGACUUUUUUUUCGCUGACUUUUUGGGACUUUGGCUUAUUCACCGUAUCCCCCAGAGUUAGAUAAGUCCAUUCAUACCCUUCUCAUCUCCAUGCGUGCCGUAACUCUGUCUGACGCACCCACCGCUAGCCUAGCUUAGCACAAAGAUCGGAGGUAAACCACUCCAGCUGGCAUACUGAUCUUGCCAACACAUACCAACAUUGGCGUUAUUUUGUCACUUAUUGAGAUCAGUAUGCUAGCUGGAGCGGUUUACCUCCGAUCUUUGUGCUAAGCUAGGCUAGCAGUGGAUGUGUCAGACAGCGUUACGGCACGCAUGGAGAUGAGAAGGGUAUGAAUGGACUUAUCUAACUCUGGGGGAUACGGUGAAUAAGCUAAAGUCCCAAAAAGUUGCCGUGUUCCUUUAAGACUCCUUGAAGAAGUUGCUGAUGGUAAUAUGUGUUCAUUGUCUUAAUUAAUGUGGACUUUGGACUGUGUUCUGUGCCAAUCAUUACCUCACGAGGUAUAAAUGUCUUUAAAUAAAUGUUAUUGUCUUCAA